AGGUACAGAGAGAGAGAGGUUAUGUUAGUGGGCAGGUACAGAGAGAGGUUAUGUUAGUGGGCAGGUACAGAGAGAGGUUAUGUUAGUGGGCAGGUACAGAGAGAGGUUAUGUCAGUGGGCAGGUACAGAGAGAGGUUAUGUUAGUGGGCAG